rnacentral:rRNA from 1 species
CCCUUAGAUGUUCUGGGCCGCACACGCGCUACACUGAAGGAGGCAGCGUGUACUCCUGGAUCGAAAGAUUUGGGUAACCCGCGAAUCUCCUUCGUGCUAGGGAUUGAGGUUUGCAAUUAUCCUUCAUGAACGAGGACUUCCCAGUAAGUGCAAGUCAUAAGCUUGCGCUGACUACGUCCCUGCCCUUUGUACACACCGCCCGUCGCUACUACCGAUUGAAUGAUUUAGUGAGGACUUCGGACUGGGACCGAUGCGGCUUUCGGGCUGCGUCGGUAUUCUGGAAAGAUGUCCAAACUGUAUCAUUUAGAGGAAGUAAAAGUCGUAACA